rnacentral:rRNA from 1 species
UACGUAGGGUGCGAGCGUUGUUCGGAUUCAUUGGGCGUAAAGGGUGCGUAGGCGGCGCGGUAAGUCGGGUGUGAAAUCUUGGAGCUUAACUCCGAAACUGCAUUCGAUACUGCCGUGCUUGAGGACUGGAGAGGAGACUGGAAUUUACGGUGUAGCGGUGAAAUGCGUAGAUAUCGUAAGGAAGACCAGUGGCGAAGGCGGGUCUCUGGACAGUUCCUGACGCUGAGGCACGAAGGCCAGGGGAGCAAACGGG